ensembl:Y_RNA Y_RNA Y RNA
GGCUGGUCCAAGUGCAGUGGUAUUUUACAACUAAUUGAUCAUAAUCAGUUACAGAUUUGUUUGUUCCUUGUCCUUUUCAUCUCCCACUGCUUCACUUGACGAGCCUAAA